AGUCCCAACUACUCUGUAGGCUGAGGCAGGAGGAUUUCUUGAGCCUGGGAGGUCAAAGUUACAGUGAGCCGUGAUCAUGCCACUGCACUUCAGCCUGAGUGACAGAACAAGACCGUCUCAAAAACAACAACAACAACAACAACAACAAAGCCGGGCGCAGUGGCUCAUGUCUGUGAUCCCAGCACUUUGAGAGACCAAGGCAGGAGGAUCCCUUGAAGCCAAGAGUUUGAGACCAGCCUGGGCAACAGAAGUCAGAAUGAGUAUAUUGCUAACCUCAAGGACCAACUGCAAGAGAUGAAGGCAAAAUCCAACUUGGAGAAUCGCUACAUGAAAACCAAUACCGAGCUGCAGAUUGCCCAGACCCAGAAAAAGUGUAACAGAACAGAGGAACUCUUGGUGGAAGAGAUUGAGUAAGAAAUACAGCAUCGAGAGCGCUGAACUUCGUUCAAACCUGAGUUUAUAGGAUGAGAAGUCACGGUGAAAAAUGCCAGGAGGAAGAAAGAAGUGGUAGAUCUUCUUUGAGGGGAAUGCUAAAUGGCACACACGCACGCACGCA
rnacentral:lncRNA from 1 species